rnacentral:rRNA from 1 species
CAGAGAUUAAGACCGCAUAAUAUAUUGAAGUGGCAUCGCUUUAAUAUCAAAUAUUUAUAGGAUCAAGAUGGGCAUGCGGAACAUUAGCUAGUUGGUAAGGUAACGGCUUACCAAGGCUACGAUGUUUAGGGGAUCUGAGAGGAUGACCCCCCACACUGGUACUGAGACACGGACCAGACUCCUACGGGAGGCAGCAGUAAGGAAUAUUGGUCAAUGGGCGGAAGCCUGAACCAGCCAUGCCGCGUGCAGGAAGACGGCCCUACGGGUUGUAAACUGCUUUUGUACGGGAAUAAACCUACUUAUGUAUAAGUAGCUGAAUGUACUGUAAGAAUAAGGAUCGGCUAACUCCGUGCCAGCAGCCGCGGUAAUACGGAGGAUCCAAGCGUUAUCCGGAUUUAUUGGGUUUAAAGGGUGCGUAGGCGGCCUGUUAAGUCAGGGGUGAAAGACGGUAGCUCAACUAUCGCAGUGCCCUUGAUACUGAUGGGCUUGAAUGUACUUGAGGUAGGCGGAAUGUGACAAGUAGCGGUGAAAUGCAUAGAUAUGUCACAGAACACCAAUUGCGAAGGCAGCUUACUAAAGUAUGAUUGACGCUGAGGCACGAAAGCGUGGGGAUCAAACAGGAUUAGAUACCCUGGUAGUCCACGCCCUAAACGAUGAACACUCGAUGUUGGCGAUAUACGGUCAGCGUCUAAGCGAAAGCGUUAAGUGUUCCACCUGGGGAGUACGCCCGCAAGGGUGAAACUCAAAGGAAUUGACGGGGGCCCGCACAAGCGGAGGAGCAUGUGGUUUAAUUCGAUGAUACGCGAGGAACCUUACCCGGGCUUGAAAGUUAGUGAAUGUGACAGAGACGUCACAGUCCUUCGGGACACGAAACUAGGUGCUGCAUGGCUGUCGUCAGCUCGUGCCGUGAGGUGUUGGGUUAAGUCCCGCAACGAGCGCAACCCCUAUGUUUAGUUGCCAGCAUUUAAGGUGGGGACUCUAAACAGACUGCCUAUGCAAAUAGAGAGGAAGGAGGGGACGACGUCAAGUCAUCAUGGCCCUUACGUCCGGGGCUACACACGUGCUACAAUGGGCAGUACAGAGGGCCGCUACCUGGCAACAGGAUGCCAAUCUCUUAAAGCUGUUCACAGUUCGGAUCGGGGUCUGCAACUCGACCCCGUGAAGUUGGAUUCGCUA